GUGGCUUAAACAACAGCAUUUUUUUCUCACAAUUCUGGAGACUGAAAGUCCACAAUCAAGGUGCCGGCUGAUUUGGUUCCUGGAGAUAGCUCUCUUCAGAUUGCAGAUGCCCACCUUCUCCCUGUGUACUCAUACUCGGUGGAGCGAAGGACAAAGAUAUCUCUCUCUUCUUUUUCUUAUAAGGAAGAGGUUAUAAUUUAACCUCAGUUACCUUAAAAAUCCUGUCUCCAUAUACAGUUGCAUCGAGUGUUGGAGGUCACCGUAUGACUCUGUGGGGUGGGGAAGAGGAGCCAAUUCAACUCAUAGCCAUUUGAAACUCAACAGAUUGUCACUGGAUGACAUCUAAAUGCCUAACACUGAUGUGGAUGCUACAAGAGUCUGUCACUUACAAGCUCUUUGCCCUUAGGGGUCACACUGUUCCAGGGCACAUUAGUGACCACGUUGGUCCAGAAAGAAGCAGCUCUGUCUCUACCUACAUCCAUCAGGACACGUAACUCUGACUUCACCCUUUAUCAUAACCCUAUGCACUCUACUCGCUACCAUCCCAUCCAAUCCUAAGAAAGCCCUUCAAUUCAAAAUUACUGUUAAA